GAUUUCUCUAUCUUUGUAUACAGGCUCAAGUAACCUGUCGCUUUUUUGUCAUUGUGUUCCAACGUGACAUCACAACAAUCGUUGAGGAGGCUCAAGUAACAUGUCUCUGUUUGGUCAUUAUGCUCCAGGAUCCUUCAACUUGACAUCACAGCAAUCGUUGAGGAGUGUAACCGACAACCUCAGCUCUGAAAGAACCCCAGAGUAAACACUCACAUCAAGACACUCCAUUAUUCACUCUUGUGCUGCUCCUACCAAUGGAGCAAGAGCAUCUCCACCUAGCAAUGGUCCACUCGUUGUAUUCAUCACUAAGUCAGCUUGAUUCCACCAAUGGUGUUCAUGCUGUAAGUAUUGUCGCAAGUAGGCCAUUUAUAUUAUCCUGACUAUUGAGAGCGAUGAG